UGCAAUUGGUAAUGGUAUACAGCAAAGCUGCCUAGUGUCCACUGCCUACCCUUAUAUGCUCAUGAAAACAACCAAAAAUGAAAAAUGUAAAAAAGAGCGGUGUUGUUCACGUUUUCAAUUAUAAAAAUUAAAAACACACAGUGGGUAUAUGGUUUUUUUUUCAAAAAACAAGAAAAAAAUGCGGUGACCGAGGCCUCAAAUGAAAGGAAUUUCAGAGUUAUUUAGGCCGUCCAGGAAGGGAAGGUCAGACGAAAAAAAAGAAUCUGAUUUAGUUCUUCCUGAGGGAUUAUGUCGUCGAUUUUCGCUAGCUGAGAUCAAGACAGCUACCAAUAACUUCGAUGAAUACUUCAUAAUUGGUCAGGGGGAUUAUGGGAUGGUAUACAAGGGGUUUAUCGAUGACCCUACUACAAUAAGCGUUGCAAUAAAGCGUGUGAAUAUCGAUUCAAGGGCGGGUUUUCACGAGUUAAAGACUGAGUUGUUGUUGCUAUGCCCAGCUACGCCACUCUAACCUCGUCCCUCUCAUUGGAUAUUGUCUUGAUCAUCAACAUUUGAUCCUAGUCUACCAGUUCAUCUUCAAUGGAAACCUCGGCGACCACCUCUACGUCACUAACCACGAUAAUCCCCUCCCAUAGAAACAAAGACUCCGGAUUUCCAUUGGAGUGGCGCGUGUUCUGCAUUACCUUCACACUGGGCUGAAGCAUACUAUCAUCCACCGUAACGUGAAGCCGAGCAACAUUCUGUUGGACGAAAAAUGGGAGCCCAAGUUGGCAGAUUUUGUGUCGUACAAGAUGGGUCCGCCGAGUUUGUCAAAGGCUUUGAUUAGGGUGGAUUCUAGUGCCUACAUUGGAGUGAGUAGUACUUUAGAACACUUGGAUCCUGAGUAUUUCGUAUGCGGGGAGAUGAUUGAUAAAUCCGACGUCUAUUCUUUUGGGUUGGUACUGCUGCAACUACUCGGUGGCAGAAAAACAUUAGGGCAGCGGCAUCUUCUUGAGUGGGUCAGAAAAUGCAAACGAGAAGGGACCAUCAAUGAAAUAGUUGAUCCGUAUCUGAUGGGGAAGAUAGCUCCAGAGUGUUUCAAGAAAUACGUCGACAUUGCCACUUCUUGUGUGCAAAAUAAGGGAAAGAAUCGUCCCACGAUUGGUGAGGUGGAGGUAAUCCUUGAACACGCACUGGAGCUACAAGAGAGUGCUGAUGCUGCUAGGAAGGAUGUGGAUCCUGGUGGUGAUCAUUAUAACUAUCCCAUUGUUGAAUAUACCUGUAGUGCUUCUCCCCGAGUCUGAGCCAGAGGAAUCUGUUUCAGAUUCAGAUAUCACUGCCACGAUAUGGGAAAAUUUUUAAGGAGCAUGAAAUCAAGGAUUUUGACUACCUAUCCAGUUGCAUUUCCAGCGGAUUCAACUGAAGAAGUAGUUGACAGGAGACCGGACCUUGAAAUGCCUAACAUUAGUCAAGCUGUUCACAAAUUGCAACAUGUAUCAUGGGUACCACUUGGUAAACACAAUGUAGGUAAAGAAUCUUCCCCCGCCCUCCCCCCCCCCCCCCCCCCCCCCCCCUCACCCAAAAACCCCCCUUCGGUUUAUAAUUUGUGCUCUAUGGACAUAUAUAUCAUUUACUAUUUUCAUCGAUCA